rnacentral:rRNA from 1 species
UACGUAGGGGCAAGCGUUGUCCGGAUUUAUUGGGCGUAAAGAGCGUGUAGGCGGCCUGGAAGGUCAGCUGUGAAACUCGAGGCUCAACCUCGAGACGUCGGUUGAAACCACCUGGCUAGAGUCCGGAAGAGGAGAGCGGAAUUCCGGGUGUAGCGGUGAAAUGCGUAGAUAUCCGGAGGAACACCGGUGGCGAAGGCGGUUCUCUGGGCCUUACCUGACGCUGAGGAGCGAAAGCGUGGGAGCGAACAGG